rnacentral:rRNA from 1 species
ACAAUGGGCGCAAGCCUGAUGCAGCGACGCCGCGUGAGGGAUGGAGGCCUUCGGGUUGUAAACCUCUUUCGCCAGUGAAGCAGGCCUGCUCCUUGUGGGUGGGUUGACGGUAGCUGGAUAAGAAGCGCCGGCUAACUACGUGCCAGCAGCCGCGGUAAUACGUAGGGCGCGAGCGUUGUCCGGAAUUAUUGGGCGUAAAGAGCUCGUAGGCGGCUGGUCGCGUCUGUCGUGAAAUCCUCUGGCUUAACUGGGGGCUUGCGGUGGGUACGGGCCGGCUUGAGUGCGGUAGGGGAGACUGGAACUCCUGGUGUAGCGGUGGAAUGCGCAUUAUAUCAGGAAGAACACCGGUGGCGAAGGCGGGUUCUCUGGGCCGUUACUGACGCUGACGAGCGAA